GAUGAACGCUGGCGGCGUGCCUAAUACAUGCAAGUCGAGCGGAAAGACGCGAGUGCUGGCGCUCGCUCGCGUGGGCGGCGGACGGGUAAGUCACGCGUAACUAACCUUCCUAUAAGGCUGAGAUUACGUCGAGAAAGCGGAACUACUACCGGGUAAUCUUGAGCUUCGCAUGGAGCAAUAGAGAAAGACGGUUCUGGUAUCACUUAUAGAUGGACCCGCGGUGUAUUGGCUAGUUGGUGAGGUAACGGCUCACCAAGGCAACGAGACAUAGCCGACCGGAGAGGGUGAUCGGCCACCCUGGGACUGAGACACGGCCCAGACUCCUACGGGAGGCAGCAGUAGGGAAUCUGCCGCAAAGGUCGAAAGUCUUACGGAGCAAUGCCGCGUGAGUGAAGAAGGUUUUCGGAUCGUAAUACUCUGUUGUAAGGGAAGAACAAGUACGUUAGUAACUGAACGUACCUUGACGGUACCUUAUCAGAAAGCCACGGCUAACUACGUG
rnacentral:rRNA from 1 species